CAAGGUGGUGGGCGCGGAGUAGGUGUUGUUUUGCCCGCGCUGUACACGAGCUACAAAAGGGAGACUCUGGUGCGCCGGUACCGCGAGCGGAAGGAGGGUGGGCGCGGGCGUCAGGUGGUAGGCGGCGCGGGGGAGUUAGGGGGCGGCGAGCGCACGCGGUGGUUGUGGCCGAAGAGAAAGGAGAAGGGUGGCAGGAGGGCGACCGGGAGGGACGUCUCCCGGUCGAGGCGCCGUCGGCCGCUACCGCGGCCGAGCAGUCUUCGCGGCCCGCUGUCAAGCGAGCUGCGUCUGGAGGAGUCCUCUCAGAGGCCCCGUCUCCUGCGCCUGGCUCGCGACCUGUAACAACGCCUCAGCGACCCUCCGCCCCGGCCGAGGCCGAGCUUUCGCAGAGAGCUGAGCAGGCUGACGUUGCGCUAUCAUCGCCGUCGCGAACUGGCCCCGUUGCAGCUAGAGCGCGAGAGGCAGAAGCUGCGCUACGCGAGGCCGGACCGCGCUCAUCCCGCGACCUCGACCCGUUCCGGCCUGCGCGCCUGGAUGCGCAACGAUCAGGUCGCUAACCGCCGCCGAGACGCGCAAAGACUACGAUAGUCCUAUCAGCUGAUACACAGGGCACGCCCACAUAGAAGACGUCUCCUCCAGGGCAAACCGUAUUGACAAGCGACAGGUUGGACGUACCACCGUUAACGACAGCGCGUCGGAGUCGUACCUUGAGUCCACCAAAGAACAAGCUUCACGGCCAUGGUUAUACUUGAUAAAAGACCUCUGCAAUGUUCGUAGCUCAGUCUUCUUCACUCGUACCUAUAAAGUCGAAAACUCUUCCGGAACGUUAAAUAUUUACACUACUUUCUACUAGAAGGUCGACGGCAAGUGAGAUAGCACUAGGCCUGUGGGAGUCCUUGUCGGGCGUGUGUAUCUAAACGAUGGUUCUGGCACCUUGACGGACGAGUUCCUCCUCUUUCUCACUGGUAAAGGAACCGACGGGGUCGGUUACGAAUAGCAGUCUACCCGGGGGAGUUCUAACGCCGUGCGAGUUUUCCCAAAUCAGGUCCUCUUGGGUACACGGAGUGAUUGGUACAGUCACCUCUCUAGAGUUUCAACGAUUCUCACGGUAGUUUCUUACGUCCUGGUAACAAAGAAUCAGGAAUAGAUCAACAACCACGACAACGAAACGAACGAAGACCUCUACGACAAAGACGUAAGUAACUAGGUUCAGAGGGAUCUGAUUAAUGUCGUUGACGGUAACGUAGCCGACGACAUCCUUGUUGUGAUUUAGUUCACUAGGACGGUCUCUGUGCUUUCGAAGGCGUUUUCCGCCAUCUGUAUCAACGACAUGUCGUCUUUGAGAAUAGAGUUAUACUGUACGAAGUUUCAGCAGAAUUCCUAGACUUUGCCGAACAACUUUUUCUCCAAACAGACAAAUUAGAGACAUUGGUCAUUUAGAAGACGAUUUGCAUUUCAAAACUUUUCGUAUCACAGGUCUUAAUAAGGUAGCUUCCACACCUACGAACGUUCUUACACAGUCAACCUCUUGUUCUAUAAUCGUCAUCCGCUUGGUAGUAUAGCACGAGCUGCACCAUCUCACUUCUCCCAUGCUUUUUCGAACCUUUGAUGCGACAACCGUUUCUAACUCGACUACCUUUCAAUGCGUUUUAAUACAAGAUACUAACUUUAACUUCAACUUUACCUGAGACUGCAAUAGCAACGACUUCGUCGUUGGCCACGUCUUUCUUAUAGUCUUGUUUAACUUGUCAACUACCUCUAACUGUCAGAACUUCUCGUUACCGCAUAUGUUCGACUCCGAUUACUACUUCGUCUUUCCGAAGAACCGAGUCUAAGAAGCCUUCGUAACAGACGACUCUCACAUACUACUUUAAAACCGACCCGUGUCACUGAACACUUCUGCUACUAACACUAUGUUUUCUGUUUGACUAACGACAAAUCUUGGUACAUAAGGGGGGUAUUGUAGCUUCACUUAUAACGUUUCUUGAGCUCUAGAGAUCGUCUGUGAACUGUCAUGUCUGGUCCUGUUUGAAUACCUAUCUUUGUUUACUUUCUACGAAUGUCUCUGUUCUUACAGUUUGGGACUUCUCGGUACUCUACAAGCCCCGUCAAUUCCUGACACCGAACCAAACGAUCAAUGAAAUCGUACAAAGAACCUCAAUCGUUUUCUUAGACUACGACCGAACAUUUACCGAGGCGCAUUGAAAAUAGUGGUAACACAACUUGCCACCCUGACAAUGACAUGUAUUCACGCAUUUAACUUAACGUUGUGUAAAAACAGUACAGGUAUCUAUUAACGUCUAGGAAGUUUAGCUACAAACGCCUCGUAGAUACAGACAUGUCCUCGAUAGUUAAAUGUGCGAAAUAGACUGUUCUUUUAUGUUCUGAGCUUACGUUCUCGUGUUCGUUAUCGUAAAGGUCACCGUCUUAUUUUUCACCGGGACUUGACUUGUUCCUUUUAGGGGAGGACCCGUACCCAAACACUACGAAACAUGUUAGUUUUCCCCCAUAAGUGUCGUUUCUGUUGAUUUAGUAGGAGACAAACGACGACCGAUAUUAACCAGAAUCAUUACACAACGGUCACUACUGGAAACAACAACGUUGGUGCUUCAGUAUCGGGUAAGGAAGGACACGUGGUUCUUUAGCUUCGCGCCGUUAGAGUCGUUUACAAUGCGGUGGUUGUUUGUGUUGGUCUUGUUGCCUCGCUGCCGGUUGGGACAGCCAUAAGACGACACGGGGCAGACCAUCGUUAAGACUACUUGGUGAUUACCAGCUCUGUGGAGAAAAGUUUAGGUCUGCUCCCGGGCCGUUAUUAAAGUUGUGAAGAAGUUAUCUAACGGUAGGUCUGGAGUAUCGUACGAGUUGUUCCGCUUAUGAUUCUCCGCGCAUAGGUCGUUUCUGCAUACUGUAUAGUAGUCCCCUUAGUCCUAGGAAAUAUAGUUGAUAUUCGACCUCUCGAGAGGAUUAUUGUCGGGUUAAUGAGGAGCUAAGGGCGGAAAAUUGUUCCGGUCGGAAAAGGUCUAACAUGUUGUUCCCGUACACGAGUUUCGGUAUUGACACGUCAUAGAGGGCGGAGUCCAUCAGCUUUAAGAAGGAGCCGUUGGGUCGUAAACAUUCCCUUUUAUUGUGGUCUUCCGCUUCGUGUCAGAGUUAUCCGAGAACGAAGACAUACUAGAGGAGUUACAUGAACAUUGUGCAUAGUAUCAGGAAGCGGAGGUCAUAGAAAACGAGUUAGAGAUGAGCCCGUACUUUGUUCCCAAAAGGUCGUUUCCUAACGUCUACCACGCGGUUUAAUUGUACGGACCAAUAGAGGCCAUCCCUCACAUUGGAAAAGUGUUUCAGGAACUCGAGUCUUUGGCUGACGCAUAAGCACCUAAAGUGAACGCGCAUUAGAACGACUUAUCUGCAACGGAAAACCACCUGCUGGGCUUCGUGUUGUACCUUCAACUCCAGAGCUUAGAGGGACAUGUUGAAUAGCGAGCUUAACUCACCUUGGAACUGGAAAAAGGGUAGAACAACCCGCGGGUACUACGGCCGUAGUUGAACGUGUCUAGGCAGCACUUAAAGGUCGUAGAGCAGAUUCUCCGGAAGUAUGCAGUCGACUCUCGUGUAACCACAGUGGUAUAGGUGGAGAGCUAGAUCGUUCUAUUGCCAGAGAUAGAGGCCUUAGGGGUACAGUAGGUACACCUGUCCCAGAACCUCUACGUAUACCAACUCGUCGACCCGUCGAAACCAACUACGGUGUGGGAACCGAGAUUGUAACCCCUACUGAGGUUUCCGUUCGAGAUCGGAUACCUAUCGAAGACGUUACACGGUGUGUCUUCAGCGGCAUAGGGGAAGUUAUUCCGCUGUAAGGACGCUCCUUAUCAGUAGUAGUGGUUCGAGUUUUCUUUACUGUAGGAGUAGGUUGCCUUGGUCUAUGUUCCCUAUAAGAGGCUAAUAACGGUUGAAGACUACUUGAAAGGGAAGGAGGUCUUAGUAGAGUGUCCGUUGAUGUGCUGCACCGUGUUUUAUCUCCACCAUAAGGGAGACCUCCGGGAACCUAAGCAGCAAGAACUAGACUAAACGGUGCUUAAAGUAGUUCGACUCGACCCUGGCUUGUUCCAUGUGGUGGAACCCCGUGAGGCAGACGUGUCCCAGCCGCCUCUCCUAGGCGUCGAGACACUGUACAAGGAAAUCGUGGCUCCACACGUCCUAGUCGCUCUCCCACGGGCGCUCGAAGCCUAGCUACUGGUCUGUGAACAAGGGGUACUACGAGAACUAAUACGACUGCUCAAGGAAGACACUGACGAGGGACUCCCGUCACUCUAACUCGCCGCGCAAUAGCUCCAAACCUUAGACACGGUAAACCGGGUGAGCUAGCCGUGGAACGCCAAACCCGCAGCGCAGUCCUUGAGUCCUACGACGACCGCCGAGCCGGCAGUUACCGCAGCCCCACCCGAAGUUAGAGGAUCGCUACUCCAGCGACGAGGACCGACCGCCGCCCCAGAGCCCGCAGCUGCCCUGCCUUAUGCCGCCCAUUCCCCGAACCUACCGGCCUAGACGGCCGCCUCCUCACCUCAUCCCGCACCGCCGCGAGUCGGAACGCAUCCCAAUGCUCUCCCUCUCCCAACCACACCCGCACGCCGAUAUAUUCUCAAACCAAUAGGCUGGGGCGUUGCAUGCGCCACUCUUCGGAUCCAAAAUCUAGGAGCGCCAAUGCCUGCACCCGCCGCUAGCUAGGCCGGAACUUCUCCAACUACCGUCUCUAGUCCCUCCUCUGGCGCUCCCGGCCCCUCCCACUCUCCGACUUCUACGACGUGCUCCUCCGCCGAGUGGGCUCCUCGUUGAGGCCGUACCUGGGCCCCCUGGGCUCCUCCUUCCGUUAGCUUCGCCUCCUCUACUCUCUGUCCUGCCGCCACCUUCGUCCGCUCCUCCUGAUGCUCCGGCUGUACCGACGGUUCAAGGCGGUAGCGACCCUCCUCGCUACCAGGCCGAUAAAGCCGAGGAAACUCCUGUGGUGUGAAUAAGGUGGCUACGCGAAGUGCCUACUUGGUGGACCCGGUGCUCUGAAGCGCACGAGGAUGUACGUAUGAGAGUUGCAGAAGAGCCAGUUUGAACGACCUGAUGUAUCCCUAAACCGUACCGGUGAGGUACACAAGUCGUAGCAGCGGCGUGCGCUGUGAGACCUAGUGUUAGCGUUAUAGUAGAACGUAGCGUGGUCCCUAUUGGCGGUUUAGUAGGUAGUCCUCCUAGGGAUGGAUCUUAACUGUCCAGGAUAGGCACCAUAGCACCACUAACUAGGACACUUUAAACUCCAACACGACUUUCACUUCCCGAGGUGACUUAGGCUCCUGUUUCUAAAUUCGAAAGACCAACACGCCAUGAAAUCAUUGCCGCCACUUUCAGCCAGUGAACACUAGUUGUUUUAGUCCUGAUUGUUCGAAUCGUGUGAUCUCAACUGUAAGCCGGUGUAACAAGCGAGACACCUCCGGCGCUAAUCACACUCUCACUAACCGCCAAGUACCGGUCUACCCAAAGCUCCACAUAAAUGUCGAUGGUGACCGUCGUAUUUAGUGUACUUCAAGAGCAACGAAAGAAGAUCUUUGACAUUCAAAGGACAGUUCAGACUACCUUACUAGAACGAUAGUGCUACACAACAAACACAACUUGAGCUACCUCUUGAGUACCAAAGGUAGUACCGUGUUGUACUUCUGCUCCUCUUUCAACAACUAGUCUCACUACUAUUGCAAAAAUGUGGAUUCUUUCGACCAUCUUCGGUAUUAUAGGAGUUCUAACCCAGCACGUUCUACCUUCAGUGACACCGGACGAGACAAAAGAGCCUAGCAUAUGAACAAGCACUGCUUACCCAACCACGAGCCGUAGACACU
rnacentral:rRNA from 1 species